CAGUGAUGUCUCCUGACUGUUAUCAAUGGGGGCACUCGUUCAUGCUGUGGGUUUUAAAAGACCUUAGACGCCAGUCGUCGUUGGUAUGGAGUGAGGGCGGGUUAAAUGCCCA
rfam:Jeotgalibacillus malaysiensis strain D5, complete genome.